rnacentral:siRNA from 1 species
AUGUUUAAGGAGGUGGAAGAUGAU